ensembl:lncRNA
UCCACACCAGCAUCCUCAGAUCAACUUCAGUCUUUUAAUUUCCCUUCACCCUACAGCCAUCACCAUGGAAACAAGAACCCCAACCCCGUGGAAAGACAAGCUCCUCCCUCACACACUCACCACCCUGUGACGGCUGACCCCCAGAAAUCAGCUGAGGCCGUCUCUCUGCCUUCCGGCGAGGAGACUGGACAGGAGAGGGUGGCAAAAAGGGGGCGUGUCCCAGAUUACCAGCCACGUGAGGGCGGGACUACGGGAGGGUCUUGGCUGGGAUGAGGACCCCAUGGGGAUUACAUUUGAAGCUUGUGAGCCAUCAGACUGAAAGGUCCACUUUUAAUCAACUUUUCAUUAUUUUUAAGUAUCCUUGUCCGGCAGCCGUGAUGCAGACCCCUGUCCAGGUGUGGGAGAUACCAGUCCAGGUGUGGGAGAUACCAGUCCAGGUUUGGGAGAUACCAGUCCAGGUGUUAUAGAUAUCUGCCCAGGUGUGCGAAAUACCUGUCCAGAUGUUGUAGAGAAACCUGUCCAGGUGUUAUGUAUAUAUACAUAUAUAUACACACACGCACUAACCUGUCCAGGUGU